AUGCCAUGUUGAGGACAUUUUCAAAGCAUCUCCUUAAAUCCAUCCCAUGCCUGAUACAAGUUCUCUAACUCCAUUUGUCUAAAUUGAGUAAUCUCAGCCCUUAGUUG